AUUGAACGCUGGCGGCAUGCUUUACACAUGCAAGUCGAACGGUAACAGGCCGCAAGGUGCUGACGAGUGGCGAACGGGUGUGUAAUGCAUCGGAACGUGCCCAGUCGUGGGGGAUAACUACUCGAAAGAGUAGCUAAUACCGCAUACGAUCUACGGAUGAAAGCGGGGGACCGUAAGGCCUCGCGCGAUUGGAUCGGCCGAUGUCAGAUUAGGUAGUUGGUGGGGUAAAGGCUCACCAAGCCAACGAUCUGUAGCUGGUCUGAGAGGACGACCAGCCACACUGGGACUGAGACACGGCCCAGACUCCUACGGGAGGCAGCAGUGGGGAAUUUUGGACAAUGGGCGCAAGCCUGAUCCAGCAAUGCCGCGUGCAGGAAGAAGGCCUUCGGGUUGUAAACUGCUUUUGUACGGAACGAAACGGCUCUGGUUAAUACCCGGGGCUAAUGACGGUACCGUAAGAAUAAGCACCGGCUAACUACGUG
rnacentral:rRNA from 1 species